rnacentral:rRNA from 1 species
AGAAUCAACGCUGGCGGCGUGCCUAACACAUGCAAGUCGCACGAGAAAGGGGAGCAAUCCCUGAGUACAGUGGCGCACGGGUGAGUAACACGUGAAUAAUCUACCUCCGAGUGGGGAAUAACUGAGAGAAAUCUUAGCUAAUACCGCAUAACACUUACGAGUCAAAGCAGCAAUGCGCUUGGAGAGGAGUUCGCGGCCGAUUAGUUAGUUGGCGGGGUAAUGGCCCACCAAGACGAUGAUCGGUAUCCGGCCUGAGAGGGCGCACGGACACACUGGAACUGAAACACGGUCCAGACUCCUACGGGAGGCAGCAGUGGGGAAUUUUGCGCAAUGGGGGAAACCCUGACGCAGCAACGCCGCGUGGAGGAUGAAGCCCCUUGGGUGUAAACUCCUUUCGAUCGGGAAGAUAAUGACGGUACCGAUAUAAGAGCCCCGGCUAACUUCGCGCCAGCAGCCGC